rnacentral:rRNA from 1 species
UACGUAGGGACCAAGCGUUGUUCGGAUUUACUGGGCGUAAAGGGCGCGUAGGCGGCGCGGUAAGUCACUUGUGAAAUCUCUGAGCUUAACUCAGAACGGCCAAGUGAUACUGCAGUGCUAGAGUGUGGAAGGGGCAAUCGGAAUUCUUGGUGUAGCGGUGAAAUGCGUAGAUAUCAAGAGGAACACCUGAGGUGAAGACGGGUUGCUAGGCCAACACUGACGCUGAGGCGCGAAAGCCAGGGGAGCAAACGGG